rnacentral:rRNA from 1 species
GACGAACGCUGGCGGCGUGCCUAAUACAUGCAAGUCGAACGCAUUUUCUUUCACCGUAGCUUGCUACACCGAAAGAAAAUGAGUGGCGAACGGGUGAGUAACACGUGGGUAACCUGCCCAUCAGCGGGGGAUAACACUUGGAAACAGGUGCUAAUACCGCAUAAUUCCAUUUACUGCAUGGUAGAUGGAUGAAAGGCGCUUUUGCGUCACUGAUGGAUGGACCCGCGGUGCAUUAGCUAGUUGGUGGGGUAACGGCCUACCAAGGCUGCGAUGCAUAGCCGACCUGAGAGGGUGAUCGGCCACACUGGGACUGAGACACGGCCCAGACUCCUACGGGAGGCAGCAGUAGGGAAUCUUCGGCAAUGGACGCAAGUCUGACCGAGCAACGCCGCGUGAGUGAAGAAGGUUUUCGGAUCGUAAAACUCUGUUGUUAGAAAAGAACAAGGAUGAGAGUGGAAAGUUCAUCCCUUGACGGUAUCUAACCAGAAAGCCCCGGCUAACUACGU